GCAGUCGAGGGGUAUAGUCUUCGGAUUUAGAGACCGGCGCACGGGUGCGUAACGCGUAUGCAAUCUACCUUUCACAGAGGGAUAGCCCAGAGAAAUUUGGAUUAAUACCUCAUAGUAUGCAGAGUUGGCAUCAACACUGCAUUAAAGUCACAACGGUGAAAGGUGAGCAUGCGUCCCAUUAGCUAGUUGGUAAGGUAACGGCUUACCAAGGCAACGAUGGGUAGGGGUCCUGAGAGGGAGAUCCCCCACACUGGUACUGAGACACGGACCAGACUCCUACGGGAGGCAGCAGUGAGGAAUAUUGGUCAAUGGGCGCAAGCCUGAACCAGCCAUGCCGCGUGCAGGAUGACGGUCCUAUGGAUUGUAAACUGCUUUUGUACAGGAAGAAACAACAUUACGUGUAAUGUCUUGACGGUACUGUAAGAAUAAGGAUCGGCUAACUCCGUGCCAGCAGCCGCGGUAAUACGGAGGAUCCAAGCGUUAUCCGGAAUCAUUGGGUUUAAAGGGUCCGUAGGCGGUUUGGUAAGUCAGUGGUGAAAGCCCAUCGCUCAACGGUGGAACGGCCAUUGAUACUGCCAGACUUGAAUUAUUAGGGAGUAACUAGAAUAUGUAGUGUAGCGGUGAAAUGCUUAGAGAUUACAUGGAAUACCAAUUGCGAAGGCAGGUUACUACUAAUGGAUUGACGCUGAUGGACGAAAGCGUGGGUAGCGAACAGGACUAGAUACCCUGGUAGUCCACGCCGUAAACGAUGGAUACUAGCUGUUGGGAGCGAUCUCAGUGGCUAAGCGAAAGUGAUAAGUAUCCCACCUGGGGAGUACGUUCGCAAGAAUGAAACUCAAAGGAAUUGACGGGGGCCCGCACAAGCGGUGGAGCAUGUGGUUUAA
rnacentral:rRNA from 1 species